rnacentral:rRNA from 2 species
AAACCAACAGGGAUUGCCUCAGUAACGGCGAGUGAAGCGGCAAAAGCUCAAAUUUGAAAUCUGGCUGCUUUUUUAGUAGUCCGAGUUGUAAUUUGAAGAAUAGAUCCUUGGAGAGGCGCCUUGUCUAUGUUCCUUGGAACAGGACGUCGCAGAGGGUGAGAAUCCCGUUUGGCGAGGUGUGCUGAUCCGUGUAAGGGCUGUUCGACGAGUCGAGUUGUUUGGGAAUGCAGCUCUAAGUGGGUGGUAAAUUCCAUCUAAAGCUAAAUAUUGGCGAGAGACCGAUAGCGAACAAGUACAGUGAUGGAAAGAUGAAAAGAACUUUGAAAAGAGAGUGAAAAAGUACGUGAAAUUGUUGAAAGGGAAGGUUAUUAGAUCAGACUUGGAUUUUUUAUUAUAUUUGUCUCCUUGUGGGGCAUUCACUAAUUUUUAAUCCAGGCCAGCAUCGAUUGGGAUGGCGGGAAAAAGAGGGAGGAACGUGGCUGUGCAUUUAUGUGCAGUGUUUAUAGCCUUUCUUAAUACCGCCUGUCUCGAUCGAGGACUGCGGCAAAUUUGCCUAGGAUGCUGGCGUAAUGAUCUAAUAUCGC